GGUAAUUGUAGUUUAAUGGUAAAACAUUAGCAUGUGGAGCUUUAGAUUCGGGUUCAAUUCCCGGCUAUUACC
rnacentral:tRNA from 1 species